GUCUCGGAUAGCUUAACUUAAGGGUAGAGCAGUUGAUGCGACACCAAAAGAUCCAGGUUCGAUUCCUGGUCUGAACA
rnacentral:tRNA from 1 species